rnacentral:sRNA from 1 species
GCCAGGCAUGUUGGUUCAUGCCUGUAAUCUCAGCAACUCAGGAGGCUGAGGCAGGAGAAUCUCAAGUUCAAGGCUUCUCUGCAAUUUAGCAAGAUCCUGUGUUUU